GUGAACAAAUCCAUAUGAUGACUGCAAAUAAAUAAAAAGAUGCAUGCUUUAUGAGUCCAUUUUUAGUAAGCAGCAAGUAGAGUAGUUUCCUUAAAGUAUUAAAAAUGUGCAAUUGUUGAGGUAUGCUCGUCCAAAACAAGAAAGCUACUAUAUAAGAGGGUCACUUUCACAAUAAAGUAGAAAUCAGGUGGAUUUUAGAAUCUAACUACCUUAUCCUUUCUGAUGAGUUUACU